CUUAGGGACACGAUGAUAUUGCAUCCACAACUAUGUAGGUAACUUAGGGACACGAUGAUAUCACAUCCACAACUAUGUAGGUAACUUAGGGAUACGAUGAUAUCACAUCCACAACUAUGUAGGUAACUUAGGACACGAUAUCACAUCCACAACUACGUAGGUAACUUAGGGACACGAUGAUAUCACAUCCACAACUAUCUAGGUAACUUAGGAACACGAUGAUAUCACAUCCACAACCAUCUAGGUAACUUAGGAACACGAUGAUAUCACAUCCACAACUAUCUAGGUAACUUAGGGAUUUCUAACUAAUUUCGCCAAUUUGAAAUUAUUUAUAAACAAAAUCUGAUUUGAUUAGC